GACGGUACUGUAAGAAUAAUCACCGGCUAACUCCGUGCCAGCACCCGCGGUAAUACGGAGGGUGCAAGCGUUAUCCGGAAUCAUUGGGUUUAAAGGGUCCGCAGGCGGUCAAUUAAGUCAGAGGUGAAAUCCCAUAGCUUAACUAUGGAACUGCCUUUGAUACUGGUUGACUUGAGUUAUACGGAAGUAGAUAGAAUAAGUAGUGUAGCGGUGAAAUGCAUAGAUAUUACUUAGAAUACCGAUUGCGAAGGCAGUCUACUACGUAUAUACUGACGCUCAUGGACGAAAGCGUGGGGAGCGAACAGGAUUAGAUACCCUGGUAGUCCACGCCGUAAACGAUGGACACUAGUUGUUGGAAUUAUUCAGUGACUAAGCGAAAGUGAUAAGUGUCCCACCUGGGGAGUACGAUCGCAAGAUUGAAACUCAAAGGAAUUGACGG
rnacentral:rRNA from 1 species